UUACUUCGGUUACGAUCGGUGACAGGUGGUGCAUGGUUGUCGUCAGCUCGUGUCGUGAGAUGUUGGGUUAAGUCCCGGCAACGAGCGCAACCCCUAUUCGUUAGUUGCCAUCAUUCAGUUGGGCACUCUAGCGAGACUGCCGGUAAUAAACCGGAGGAAGUGGGGAUGACGUCAAAUCAUCAUGCCCCUUAUGACCUGGGCUACACACGUGCUACAAUGGUUGGUACAACGAGUUGCGAGUCGGUGACGGCGAGCUAAUCUCUUAAAGCCAAUCUCAGUUCGGAUUGGAGUCUGAAACCCGACUCCAUGAAGGUGGAAUCGCUAGUAAUCGCGCAUCAGCCAUGCCGCGGUGAAUACGUUCCCGGGCCUU
rnacentral:rRNA from 1 species